rnacentral:rRNA from 1 species
GAUGAACGCUGGCGGCGUGCCUAAUACAUGCAAGUCGAGCGAACAGAUGAGGAGCUUGCUCCUCUGACGUUAGCGGCGGACGGGUGAGUAACACGUGGAUAACCUACCUAUAAGACUGGGAUAACUUCGGGAAACCGGAGCUAAUACCGGAUAAUAUAUUGAACCGCAUGGUUCAAUAGUAAAAGACGGUUUUGCUGUCACUUAUAGCUGGAUCCGCGCCGCAUUAGCUAGUUGGUAAGGUAACGGCUUACCAAGGCAACGAUGCGUAGCCGACGUGAGAGAGUGAUCGGCCACACUAGAACUGAGACACGGUCCAGACUCCUACGGGAGGCAGCAGUAGGGAAUCUUCCGCAAUGGGCGAAAGCCUGACGGAGCAACGCCGCGUGAGUGAUGAAGGUCUUCGGAUCGUAAAACUCUGUUAUUAGGGAAGAACAAAUGUGUAAGUAACUAUGCACGUCUUGACGGUACCUAAUCAGAAAGCCACGGCUAACUACGUG